rnacentral:rRNA from 1 species
UACGUAGGGGGCGAGCGUUGUCCGGAAUUAUUGGGCGUAAAGAGCUUGUAGGCGGUUUGUCGCGUCGACUGUGAAAACCCACGGCUCAACUGUGGGCUUGCAGUCGAUACGGGCAGGCUAGAGUUCGGUAGGGGAGACUGGAAUUCCUGGUGUAGCGGUGAAAUGCGCAGACAUCAGGAGGAACACCGGUGGCGAAGGCGGGUCUCUGGGCCGAUACUGACGCUGAGGAGCGAAAGCGUGGGGAGCGAACAGG